rnacentral:tRNA from 1 species
GGAUUGUGGCUCAGUGGCAGAGCACUUGCCUAGCAUGUGUGAGGCACUGGGUUCAAUUCUCAGCACCA